UUGGUGAUUCCGAGUUCCACGCGCCCCUGGUAUUUCGAGGUCUCGCUACUGUCUAGUUAUGUUCAGGCUUUGUCACGGCGUAAUGAGGUGAAUAGCCAACUUGUUGUUUUUAUAGUCUUAGAGCGGCGCUGGUGGCGCGUGCAUUGUGGCGAAUUGGCGCUGGAGAUCGCGUUCAGUGAUCACAACAUUUAUCCGGUGGCUGAAUGAUGUGUCUGUCUGUCUGUCUGGCUGGCUGGCUGCGGUACCUCUGAGUAAUUAUACAACUUCGCGUCUGCUGUUUGUUCAAUCUAAUACCAGUGGACAUUAGGAGAUACUUCUUCAACAUGAUAACGCUCCAGAGCGUCGGCUCUGCUGGUUUAAAACUACCAAGACCCGCUACUUGGAUCAGGAGGGAUUCCCUUUUCAUAUCAACACCGAGGAAUGUUUCAAUGGCAUACAGCAACCUUGAAAAAGGUGACCUGCACUUACAUGUAUGUGGUAAUAUCAGGUGGACACCUCCACUUGGAUGAAGGAAUGCGAUUAUAACUCUCUCCUUACAGUGAUUCAGAGUUUGAACCAGACUCUUGGACUCUGCUUGCCAGCAUCCACAACCAGAACUCCUUGUUUGUGGUGGGAAAGAAGAUCGUGAUGUGUCUGGCAGCAGCUAACAACCAGGAUGUGGUUGGUGUGCAGCUGCCUUAUGAGUCUCUGAUUCAAUUCCUGAGAAGUCCUUCAGAAAUCGAUUGUAACAGAGCUCAUUGGGGGUCUUGUCAGGGUGCUUGCAACUCCCUGUGUCCACUAUUACAACUUCCGGGACGUGUUUUAUGAACUACUUCAGUUUGGAUUCCUCACAAAUGACUCAGCUCCUGAGGCAUCCUUUAAACGACUCUGACACUAACAAGCAGCAAGGACAUCACAAAACUCCAGAAUCUAUGCUUCCACCACCCAUAUGAUCCCAAUCCACUCCAAGCCUUUUCCUGGAGGCUGUCUGAUCCAGCCUGUGCCAUAGCUAGUGAGGGCAUAGCCAGAAAUUUGACGGGACAACUUCACUGAGGCUCCGGGAGGUUUAACCUCAGCAGGAGACGAGGUCAGACUGAUGCCAUGCACAUCUGAGAAGAGGAGAGCGUUAAAACACACAGAAGCUAUUAAACACACUUCACUUCAACUCAGACUGAAAUAUGGAGCAUAUAAAAAUGUAAGGUGUGGAGGGACGUGUUUUUACUCACAGGGCACAGAGGAUAUCAGAAGAAGAAGAGGCCAGCUCAUGAUUCAUCUGCUGUACUCGACCAAACACAGAGACUGCUGUGUAUUUACAGUGUAUUUAUAUCUGUCUGAGGUUGGGGAGAUUUGCAUGCAGUAUGGGUUAUGUAUUUAACAUUUAUGGUGGUCUUUCUAUAGUACAGCAUUUUUUCAAACAUUUUAAUUCAUAAAACUGUGUAGACAAAUUCUUACAGGAACAAAUUAAUUAAUUCAAUUUAAUCAAAAUAUAGUUUCAUGGCUGCAUAUGAAGAAACAAAUGAGAAAUGGAGAAAAAAAAACCCCUGAAACUUACAUGAAAUGAGAAGAAAUAAAAUACAAUGUCCUAACAUCAUCCUUCUCUGAGUUCUGCUUCACCCAGAUUUAAAGUGUAUGGGAGUGUUAUCU